rnacentral:lncRNA from 1 species
AUUUUUAUGCCCCACCUACGAUAGUAGAGGGGCAUUAUGUUUUCUGGUCUGUGCGUCCGUUCGUCCGUCCGUCCGUCCGUUCGUCUGUCUGUCUGUUCGUCCGUCUGUCCCGCUUCAGGUUAAAGUUUUUGGUCAAGGUAGUUUUUGAUGAAGUUGAAGUCCAAUUGACUUCAAACUUGGUACACAUGUUACCUAUGAUAAGAUCUUUUUAAUUUUAAUGCCAAAUUAGAGAUUUUACCCGAAUUUC